rnacentral:lncRNA from 1 species
AAAUGCCUUGUAAAGAACACUACGUUGCACCUGAGUAGCCGUGCACUUCUCGAAAAGACUUGUAUGUUUCGAGCCUUGAAAACUCUUCUUGAAACUUGUUGAUUGUUGAAACUCAGUCUUUGAAGCCAACUACAACCUUAUUUGAACUGAAUGAACUUAAUGCUACUUGCUUAGGGUCUCUUGUGUACUGAGUCAUGGCUAUACACACUUGAGUUGUCACAUCUUUGUUGCCAUUCUUUUUGACAAACUCUAGUGGUAGACCACUCCCAAAACCUUUCCUUCCUUUUAAGCUUUCAUUGUUUGAUGAGUGAGGCCUUCUUCGGAAAAUUUUACAUGUGCAUAAUGUUGAGAGUAUCGGGAACGACAAUGCUUGAUCUUCAUUUUUGCUAGAUUGGACACUCUAUUGUCUAGCUAUAGGUGGGAGGAUGAGUGUUGUAAUCAUGAUUUGGGAGAAAUAAGAAGGAUAGAUUCUUGUGCUCAAGUGAAUUGAUUUAUUGGG